AUUGAACGCUGGCGGCAUGCCUUACACAUGCAAGUCGAACGGUAACAGGUCUUCGGAUGCUGACGAGUGGCGAACGGGUGAGUAAUACAUCGGAACGUGCCCAGACGUGGGGGAUAACGAGGCGAAAGCUUUGCUAAUACCGCAUACGAUCUAAGGAUGAAAGCAGGGGACCGCAAGGCCUUGCGCGGUUGGAGCGGCCGAUGGCAGAUUAGGUAGUUGGUGGGAUAAAAGCUUACCAAGCCGACGAUCUGUAGCUGGUCUGAGAGGACGACCAGCCACACUGGGACUGAGACACGGCCCAGACUCCUACGGGAGGCAGCAGUGGGGAAUUUUGGACAAUGGGCGAAAGCCUGAUCCAGCAAUGCCGCGUGCAGGAUGAAGGCCUUCGGGUUGUAAACUGCUUUUGUACGGAACGAAAAGGCUCUGGCUAAUACCUGGGGAACAUGACGGUACCGUAAGAAUAAGCACCGGCUAACUACGUG
rnacentral:rRNA from 1 species